CGGGAUGUGGCUUAGCUUGGCAAAGCGCCUGGUUCGGGUCCAGGAAACCGGCGGUUCGAAUCCGCCCAUCCCGACGA
rnacentral:tRNA from 1 species